rnacentral:rRNA from 1 species
GGUUAAGCGACUAAGCGUACACGGUGGAUGCCCUGGCAGUCAGAGGCGAUGAAGGACGUGCUAAUCUGCGAAAAGCGUCGGUAAGGUGAUAUGAACCGUUACAGCCGGCGAUGUCCGAAUGGGGAAACCCAGUGCAAUUCGUUGCACUAUCGUUAACUGAAUACAUAGGUUAACGAGGCGAACCGGGGGAACUGAAACAUCUAAGUACCCCGAGGAAAAGAAAUCAACCGAGAUUCCCCCAGUAGCGGCGAGCGAACGGGGAGCAGCCCAGAGUCUGAAUCAGCUUGUGUGUUAGUGGAACGGUCUGGAAAGUCCGACGGUACAGGGUGAUAGUCCCGUACACCAAAAUGCACAGGUUGUGAACUCGAAGAGUAGGGCGGGACACGUGGUAUCCUGUCUGAAUAUGGGGGGACCAUCCUCCAAGGCUAAAUACUCCUGACUGACCGAUAGUGAACCAGUACCGUGAGGGAAAGGCGAAAAGAACCCCGGCGAGGGGAGUGAAAAAGAACCUGAAACCGUGUACGUACAAGCAGUGGGAGCACCUUCGGGUGUGACUGCGUACCUUUUGUAUAAUGGGUCAGCGACUUAUAUUCUGUAGCAAGGUUAACCGUAUAGGGGAGCCGCAGGGAAACCGAGUCUUAACUGGGCGUUAAGUUGCAGGGUAUAGACCCGAAACCCGGUGAUCUAGCCAUGGGCAGGUUGAAGGUUGGGUAACACUAACUGGAGGACCGAACCGACUAAUGUUGAAAAAUUAGCGGAUGACUUGUGGCUGGGGGUGAAAGGCCAAUCAAACCGGGAGAUAGCUGGUUCUCCCCGAAAGCUAUUUAGGUAGCGCCUCGUGAACUCAUCUUCGGGGGUAGAGCACUGUUUCGGCUAGGGGGUCAUCCCGACUUACCAACCCGAUGCAAACUACGAAUACCGAAGAAUGUUAUCACGGGAGACACACGGCGGGUGCUAACGUCCGUCGUGAAGAGGGAAACAACCCAGACCGCCAGCUAAGGUCCCAAAGUCAUGGUUAAGUGGGAAACGAUGUGGGAAGGCACAGACAGCCAGGAUGUUGGCUUAGAAGCAGCCAUCAUUUAAAGAAAGCGUAAUAGCUCACUGGUCGAGUCGGCCUGCGCGGAAGAUGUAACGGGGCUAAACCAUGCACCGAAGCUGCGGCAGCGACACUAUGUGUUGUUGGGUAGGGGAGCGUUCUGUAAGCCUGCGAAGGUGUGCUGUGAGGCAUGCUGGAGGUAUCAGAAGUGCGAAUGCUGACAUAAGUAACGAUAAAGCGGGUGAAAAGCCCGCUCGCCGGAAGACCAAGGGUUCCUGUCCAACGUUAAUCGGGGCAGGGUGAGUCGACCCCUAAGGCGAGGCCGAAAGGCGUAGUCGAUGGGAAACAGGUUAAUAUUCCUGUACUUGGUGUUACUGCGAAGGGGGGACGGAGAAGGCUAUGUUAGCCGGGCGACGGUUGUCCCGGUUUAAGCAUGUAGGCUGGUUAUCCAGGCAAAUCCGGAUAAUCAAGGCUGAGGUGUGAUGACGAGGCACUACGGUGCUGAAGUAACAAAUGCCCUGCUUCCAGGAAAAGCCUCUAAGCAUCAGGUAACAUCAAAUCGUACCCCAAACCGACACAGGUGGUCAGGUAGAGAAUACCAAGGCGCUUGAGAGAACUCGGGUGAAGGAACUAGGCAAAAUGGUGCCGUAACUUCGGGAGAAGGCACGCUGGUGUGUAGGUGAAGCCCCUGCGGGUGGAGCUGAGACCAGUCGAAGAUACCAGCUGGCUGCAACUGUUUAUUAAAAACACAGCACUGUGCAAACACGAAAGUGGACGUAUACGGUGUGACGCCUGCCCGGUGCCGGAAGGUUAAUUGAUGGGGUUAUCCGUAAGGAGAAGCUCUUGAUCGAAGCCCCGGUAAACGGCGGCCGUAACUAUAACGGUCCUAAGGUAGCGAAAUUCCUUGUCGGGUAAGUUCCGACCUGCACGAAUGGCGUAAUGAUGGCCAGGCUGUCUCCACCCGAGACUCAGUGAAAUUGAACUCGCUGUGAAGAUGCAGUGUACCCGCGGCAAGACGGAAAGACCCCGUGAACCUUUACUAUAGCUUGACACUGAACAUUGAGCCUUGAUGUGUAGGAUAGGUGGGAGGCUUUGAAGCGUGGACGCCAGUCUGCGUGGAGCCAACCUUGAAAUACCACCCUUUAAUGUUUGAUGUUCUAACGUUGGCCCCUUACCGGGGUUGCGGACAGUGUCUGGUGGGUAGUUUGACUGGGGCGGUCUCCUCCCAAAGCGUAACGGAGGAGCACGAAGGUUAGCUAAUCCUGGUCGGACAUCAGGAGGUUAGUGCAAUGGCAUAAGCUAGCUUGACUGCGAGCGUGACGGCGCGAGCAGGUGCGAAAGCAGGUCAUAGUGAUCCGGUGGUUCUGAAUGGAAGGGCCAUCGCUCAACGGAUAAAAGGUACUCCGGGGAUAACAGGCUGAUACCGCCCAAGAGUUCAUAUCGACGGCGGUGUUUGGCACCUCGAUGUCGGCUCAUCACAUCCUGGGGCUGAAGUAGGUCCCAAGGGUAUGGCUGUUCGCCAUUUAAAGUGGUACGCGAGCUGGGUUUAGAACGUCGUGAGACAGUUCGGUCCCUAUCUGCCGUGGGCGCUGGAGAAUUGAGGGGGGCUGCUCCUAGUACGAGAGGACCGGAGUGGACGCAUCACUGGUGUUCGGGUUGUCAUGCCAAUGGCACUGCCCGGUAGCUAAAUGCGGAAGAGAUAAGUGCUGAAAGCAUCUAAGCACGAAACUUGCCCCGAGAUGAGUUCUCCCUGAGACUUUAAGUCUCCUGAAGGAACGUUAAAGACGAUGACGUUGAUAGGCCGGGUGUGUAAGCGCAGCGAUGCGUUGAGCUAACCGGUACUAAUGAACCGUGAGGCUUAACCUU